rnacentral:rRNA from 1 species
GGGGAAUAUUGGACAAUGGGCGCAAGCCUGAUCCAGCAAUGCCGCGUGUGUGAAGAAGGUCUUCGGAUUGUAAAGCACUUUCGGCGGGGACGAUGAUGACGGUACCCGCAGAAGAAGCCCCGGCUAACUUCGUGCCAGCAGCCGCGGUAAUACGAAGGGGGCUAGCGUUGCUCGGAAUGACUGGGCGUAAAGGGCGCGUAGGCGGUUUGUACAGUCAGAUGUGAAAUUCCUGGGCUCAACCUGGGGACUGCAUUUGAUACGUGCAGGCUUGAGUGUGGAAGAGGGUUGUGGAAUUCCCAGUGUAGAGGUGAAAUUCGUAGAUAUUGGGAAGAACACCGGUGGCGAAGGCGGCAACCUGGUCCAUGACUGACGCUGAGGCGCGAAAGCGUGGGGAGCAAACA